UGCAGUCGAGCGGAUGAGGGAGCUUGCUCCUGGAUUCAGCGGCGGACGGGUGAGUAAUGCCUAGGAAUCUGCCUGGUAGUGGGGGAUAACGUCCGGAAACGGGCGCUAAUACCGCAUACGUCCUGAGGGAGAAAGUGGGGGAUCUUCGGACCUCACGCUAUCAGAUGAGCCUAGGUCGGAUUAGCUAGUUGGUGGGGUAAAGGCCUACCAAGGCGACGAUCCGUAACUGGUCUGAGAGGAUGAUCAGUCACACUGGAACUGAGACACGGUCCAGACUCCUACGGGAGGCAGCAGUGGGGAAUAUUGGACAAUGGGCGAAAGCCUGAUCCAGCCAUGCCGCGUGUGUGAAGAAGGUCUUCGGAUUGUAAAGCACUUUAAGUUGGGAGGAAGGGCAGUAAGUUAAUACCUUGCUGUUUUGACGUUACCAACAGAAUAAGCACCGGCUAACUUCGUGCCAGCAGCCGCGGUAAUACGAAGGGUGCAAGCGUUAAUCGGAAUUACUGGGCGUAAAGCGCGCGUAGGUGGUUCAGCAAGUUGGAUGUGAAAUCCCCGGGCUCAACCUGGGAACUGCAUCCAAAACUACUGAGCUAGAGUACGGUAGAGGGUGGUGGAAUUUCCUGUGUAGCGGUGAAAUGCGUAGAUAUAGGAAGGAACACCAGUGGCGAAGGCGACCACCUGGACUGAUACUGACACUGAGGUGCGAAAGCGUGGGGAGCAAACAGGGAUUAGAUACCCUGGGUAGUCCACGCCGUAAACGAUGUCGACUAGCCGUUUGGGAUCCUUGAGAUCUUAGUGGCGCAGCUAACGCGAUUAGGUCGACCGCCUGGGGAGUA
rnacentral:rRNA from 1 species